rnacentral:tRNA from 1 species
GCCGGGGUCCCCUAGCCUGGUAUGGGGGUGGCCUGCUAAGCCACUGGGCGCAAGCCCGCCCGGGUUCAAAUCCCGGCCCCGGCGCCA